CCGCGGAGGGCGGAGCGGCUGCGGAGGAAGGGGAAAGCGAGCACUCUGCUCUCGUUCUGGGCAGCAGCGUGCCGCUCAAGGGGACCUCACCAGGUGAAGCAGAAUCUCCACCUCUGAAGCAGCACUACUCUCAGUACAAGCAGCACUUGUGAACAGUCCAUGCAGCAAAAUGCCAGCACCUCCUAGCACUGACGGUUGCUGCCAUACUAAGCCUAACAAUACAUCUGUUGUAGGACAGAUUCUAUGAUUAUAGAAACACUGAGGAGCUCCUGCCUUUCUUUAAAAAAAAAAGUGCCUUUAGCAUACUGAAGUUGACUCUGCCCUCAGUACAGACAGUUCAAUGUCCGCACAUUUUUAAUGUUACACUUAGUGUCACACACAUAUCUUCUCCCCUUCCUCCCCCCAAGUUUUAAUGAGACAUGGAAGCUUCUGCAUCACAUACCUGAUAUUACACCUCAGUAAGUUUUACAGAGCCUCAUUUUGUAAGUGACUGACUGUGCUGCUGAAGACAUAAAAGUGAAAGAGCAGAAAAAGGCAGCUUCCAGAGAGCACUUUCCUUGCCACGAUUGUGAGAAGACUACUUCCGCACCAGGAGAGAGACAACUAUUUCAGAUGGAAAUCACCGUUUAGUGCACAGAAAUGACAGUAAAGACAACUAAAAUAAAAACAAAAGCUAAGUUUCAAUUUAUACAGUGAUUAACAGAUCCCACUAACAAAUUUUGCAGCAUCAUCCCCGAAACUACUUUUCAGUCUGUCAGAACAAACAUCCCAGCUUUGGAGAUGCUAGACUACAGAGAGAUCCUUAGUUAAAUACAAAGCAUUGAAUUGGCCCUGUUUGCAUCAGUCUUUAUUGGCUCUGAAUAAAUGCACUGUCUUGAAAGCCUA